AAUAAAAAGUUAUGGAUUUUAUGUCUUCUUUACAAUGACUAUUAAUUUACUGAAUCAGGUUUUCUGUUUGUUCCAGAUUGGGUUUGAUUGUUUUUAUGGUUAAGUUUGGCGCUGGGAAAGGACGGACUGUCACUAACUGGGGGGCAAAACAGAGACAUGGAAGACUGGAGUCAGACAGGACAAGCGUGGGGAGCAGAACUGCCACAUGAAGAACUUAUUCAGUACAGUCUGCUGCACUGCCAACCAUCUCACCAGACCUACUAAACACAAAAA